AUUGAACGCUGGCGGCAGGCCUAACACAUGCAAGUCGAACGAGUGGCGGACGGGUGAGUAAUGUCUGGAAAACUGCCUGAUGUAGGGGGAUAAGUACUGGAAAAGGUAGCUAAUACCGCAUACCAUCGGAUGUGCCCAGAUGGGAUUAGCUAGUAGGUGUGGUAAAGGCUGACCAAGGCGACGAUGCCUAGCUGGCCUGAGAGGAUGACCGGCCACACUGGAACGGAGACACGGCCCAGACUCCUACGGGAGGCAGCAGUAGGGAAUAUUGGGCAAUGGGCGAAAGCCUGAUGGAGCCACGCCGCGUGUAUGAAGAAGGCCUUCGGGUUGUAAAGCACUGUCGUCAGGGAAGCGUUACCCACCGAGAAAGCACCGGCUAACUACGGGCCAGCAGCCGCGGUAAUUC
rnacentral:rRNA from 1 species